AUGUUGCCAACCCUAGCUUACGCUACAGACGGGUAUUGUUGAAUCAGUUUAGUUUUCUUGACUCAUGUUUUGGCAGAUACUUUGUGUCCAUUCGAAUCCUCAAUCUCUAAUGUGAACUCUCAUAGUUUUUCCAAUCAAAUUGGAAACUCCUAGCCUUUUAUGUAGACAACCCUAGCUCACGGUACAGACGGGUAUUGUUGAGUCUGUUCAAUUUUUUUUUAAUCAUGUUGUGGCAGAUCCUUUGUGUCCAUUUGAAUCCUCAAUCUCUAAUGUGAACUCUCAUACCCUUUCCACUCAAAUUGGACACUCCUAGCCUUUUAUGUUGCCAACCCUAGCUCACGGUACAGACGGGAAUUGUUGAAUCAGUUCAAUUUUUUUGACUCAUGUUUUGGCAGAUCUUUUGUGUCCAUUCGAAUUCUCAAUCUCUAAUGUGAACUCUCAUACUUUUUCCAACAAAAUUGGACACUUCUAGCCUUUUAUGUGGCCAACCCUAGCUCACGCUACAGACAAGUGUUGUUGAAUCAGUUUAGUUUUCCUGACUCAUGUUUUGGCAGAUAUUUUGUGUCCAUUCGAAUCCUCAAUAUCUAAUGUGGUUCCUCAUACUUUUUACACUCAAAUUGGAAACUUGUAGCCUUUGAUGUGGCCAACCCUAGCUCACGGUACAGACGGAUAUUGUUGAAUCUGUUCAAUUUUUUUGACUUAUGUUUUGGCAGAUCUUUUGUGUCCAUAUGAAUCUUCAAUCUCUAAUGUGAACUCUCAUACUUUUUCCAAUCAAAUUGGACACUCCUAGCCCUUUAUGUGGCCAACCCUAGCUCACGGUACAGUUGGGUAUUGUUGAAUCUGUUCAAUUUUUUUGACUCAUGUUUUGGCAGAUCUUUUGUGUGCAUUCGAAUCCUCAAUCUCUAAUGUGAACUCUCAUAGUUUUUCCAAUUAAAUUGGAAACUCCUAGCCUUUUAUGUAGACAACCCUAGCUCACGGUACAGACGGGUAUUGUUGAGUCUGUUCAAUUUUAUUUUACUCAUGUUGUGCAGAUCCUUUGUGUUCAUUUGAAUCCUC
rnacentral:lncRNA from 1 species